GGUCACUUAUCAUUCGUUCCUUGCUUCCUUUGGAUGACCGGGCCAAAUCUGGAAGCUGAAUAAUCCGUAAGGAGCAAUAAAUG
rfam:Vibrio cincinnatiensis DSM 19608 genome assembly, contig: BS67DRAFT_scaffold00024.24